CUUUAACAAUCCGGAACAAGCUGAAAAUUGAAACGACGCAGCGCGUCAUUCCUCCGUAAUUAAGGAAUGGCAAUGCGAUGCGUUCGAGUCUCUCAAAUGCUUGCAGCACGCAGCGUUGUAAAACGCCUGUGG
rnacentral:sRNA from 1 species